rnacentral:tRNA from 1 species
GUCCCUGUAGAGCAAUGGAUAGCGAGUUGGACUCCUAAUCCAAAAGUUGUGGGUUCGAAUCCCACCAGGGAUG